rnacentral:rRNA from 1 species
AAAGAUUAAGCCAUGCAAGUGUCAGUUCAUGCCAAACUAAGGUGAAACCGCGAAAGGCUCAUUAAAUCAGUUAUAGUUUACUUGAUGGCAUGACGUUACCGUUACUUGGAUAACUGUGGCAAUUCUAGAGCUAAUACAUGCACUCGAGUCCCGACCGUUCGUGCGGAAGGGAUGCUUUUAUUAGAUCAAAACCAAUCGGGAAAUCGCUUCGACGACGCCGUCAGUCUUGGUGACUCUGGAUAAAUUGUCGCUGAUCGCAAGGUCUUGCACCUGCGACGCAUCUUUCAAAUGUCUGACUUAUCACUAUCGACGGUAUGCCACGUGCCUACCGUGGUGGUAACGGGUAACGGGGAAUCAGGGUUCGAUUCCGGAGAGGGAGCCUGAGAAACAGCUACCACAUCCAAGGAAGGCAGCAGGCGCGCAAAUUACCCACUCCCGGCACGGGGAGGUAGUGACGAAAAAUAACGAUGCAGAACUCUAUAAUGAGGCUCUGCAAUCGGAAUGAGAAGACUCUAAAUCAUUUACCGAGUAUCCAUUGGAGGNNNNNNNNGUUACNGGNGAAANUCUUGGAUCGUCGCAGGACUAACGAAAGCGAAAGCAUUUGCCAAGAACGCUUUCAUUGAUCAAGAACGAAAGUUAGAGGUUCGAAGGCGAUCAGAUACCGCCCUAGUUCUGACCGUAAACGAUGCCAGCUGGCGAUCCGUCGUUGUUCCUUGGAUGACUCGACGGGCAGCCUCCGGGAAACCAAAGCGUUUGGGUUCCGGGGGUAGUAUGGUUGCAAAGCUGAAACUUAAAGGAAUUGACGGAAGGGCACCACCAGGAGUGGAGCUUGCGGCUUAAUUUGAC